GAUGAACGCUGGCGGCGUGCCUAAUACAUGCAAGUCGAGCGAACAGACGAGGAGCUUGCUCCUCUGACGUUAGCGGCGGACGGGUGAGUAACACGUGGAUAACCUACCUAUAAGACUGGGAUAACUUCGGGAAACCGGAGCUACUACCGGAUAAUAUAUUGAACCGCAUGGUUCAAUAGUGAAAGACGGUUUUGCUGUCACUUAUAGAUGGAUCCGCGCCGCAUUAGCUAGUUGGUAAGGUAACGGCUUACCAAGGCAACGAUGCGUAGCCGACCUGAGAGGGUGAUCGGCCACACUGGAACUGAGACACGGUCCAGACUCCAACGGGAGGCAGCAGUAGGGAAUCUUCCGCAAUGGGCGAAAGCCUGACGGAGCAACGCCGCGUGAGUGAUGAAGGUCUUCGGAUCGUAAAACUCUGUUAUUAGGGAAGAACAAAUGUGUAAGUAACUAUGCACGUCUUGACGGUACCUAAUCAGAAAGCCACGGCUAACUACGUG
rnacentral:rRNA from 1 species